AGCUUUGCCCAGGGGCACUAGCAUAUCCCGGGAGGUUUAACUGAGGAGUGAUUGUUGCUAGUUGGAAAACCUACCCCCUACCCCCCAACAGCAGAGCGGCCUGAACUCUGGGCAAUAGCCC
rnacentral:snRNA from 1 species